GCUGUUUCUCUCAAAGAUUGCAGCUCACCUGGGAAUGAAGACCAAGAAGCUGUUUAACGUGAAAGCCGUGCAGCUUUUCAACUACAGAGAGGAGUAAGAGCUGAGCGGCAUCUUUACAGGGGUUCCAGGGCCCGAAGGCAAAUCAAACCUUUUGCUCCCUCCAAAAUGUCAUACAUGACUGGAUUUUUAUUGCAAGAAUUAUCAAAGGCUACAUCACUGGCACAAGGCUUAAGAGAGACAGAGCAGGAGCAAGGGAGGGGCUGAGAGACAGGGAGACACAGAA